rnacentral:piRNA from 1 species
AGGGCUUUUUUGGUACUGAAGAUUGCUGA